rnacentral:rRNA from 1 species
UACGUAGGGUGCGAGCGUUAAUCGGAAUUACUGGGCGUAAAGCGUGCGCAGGCGGUUAUAUAAGACAGUUGUGAAAUCCCCGGGCUCAACCUGGGAAUUGCAUCUGUGACUGUAUAGCUAGAGUACGGUAGAGGAGGAUGGAAUUCCGCGUGUAGCAGUGAAAUGCGUAGAUAUGCGGAGGAACACCGAUGGCGAAGGCAAUCCCCUGGAACGGUACUGACGCUCAUGCACGAAAGCGUGGGGAGCAAACAGG